rnacentral:lncRNA from 1 species
GAACUACUCCCAAACUGAUUGUUUGAGUACAUCUGUCAUUCAGUUGUACUGCUUAUAGCAUGCUAAGACACUGAGAGCCUAGGAUAGCAUCUUUAAUUACUGCUUCAUGCCAAAUAAAUGUAUAAAAUGUUAUUGGACUGAUAUCUUAUUCCUUAUGUCAUAUUUUACCCGGAUUUUAUUGUGACUUCAUUCAGACUCUCAAUUCCUUUAGCUUGUUUUCUCUCAGUUCCCUUUGAUUUGCCCACAUCCUCCUGGUGUUGAAGUAUCCAAAAGUGAGGAGAGGAAAGUGAUUGCAGAAGCAAGAUAAACUUGGAAUGUAGGAAGCUGCGGUUGAAUUAUUUUAUGUGUAAGCUGGGUCAGAAACUGCAAGCACAGUACAGAAAGAACAUAUUCAGAUUCUGGCUUGCAAGAAAAGGAAGCAACUCAUAUGAAAAAUGACCACAAAAGGAAAUGGGUAGCUGAAGAACAGGAGGACGUAAGCCUGCCACCUGCCUCCUUUGGAACGAAGUAGCUGCUGUAUGCAUGUUUUGCUUGGAUUCAUUUCAGUCCAGCUUUCUAAACUUCUGCUUUCCUUAAUCUUGGCUCCUUUCAUGGUGGGAUCUCCCCAAAGAUCUGUUAUUAUUUUGCUUCAGAGUUGUCAUUUCUUCAAAGACUAA